GGAAUUGGUUGUCACCAGCCAAAUCAAAGCAGGUGACACCAGGCCUCCUCCCAUGACUUGACUGUUUCUUGGUCACUGUUCUGGAUUCCUCCAAGAGUGGUUAAGACAUCAGCUGAAUAAAGGAAAGGGAAAGCCAGCUCUGCCGUUGUCUUAAUUAUCUCAAUUAUCUCGGCAAUUGCCUGGUGUUGUUUGGGCUCAUGGUAAUAGUCACCUGGGGUUUGUCCCUUACAUUCCUCUAGCUUGCAGAGCAAUUAGUACAGCAUAAGCAACAAUCAUUAGUCAUUUAUAAACCAUAGAAGAAAGUACCACUGCAAGAACCAUCAUGAAUAAACUGGAAAAAUGGGACUUAGAUAAAUUCCAUUUUCCUGAGAAAAGAUGAUGCCCAUAACUAUUUUUCUUGUGGAAAACUACACCAUAACAUAAACUACUACAUUGAGCAGAUACAGGGCUGUGAACACUUGUAUGUCUUGACAGACAGCACAUACAAAGAAGGACUCAGAGGAAUAAUGAAAAAAGACAGCAAUAUCACAUUUGGAAGACCGCUGACUCUCAGAACACUCAGAGCCCUGCCUGGAAACUUCUAUAAUUGUCUUCAGAAUCACAAGAUGACCAGCAUUAAGAGGGACCUCCCUGCUCAAGCAGAGAUGCCUGGACCAUGUCUAGACAGGCUUUUGAAGAUCUCCAAGGAAAAAACCACAACUUCACUGGGUAAACCAUUCCAGCAUUUCCAAUGAACAAGACUGGACAGAUGUACUUUCAAUAUCUGGAGAAAUGGAAUGGAGUAUAGAAGGCAAAAAGAGUCUGCAGAACAUUGCUUUCCCCAGAAAAUUUAGUUUUGGGAAACUAAGAAGUUGUGACUUUGUAAAGGCAUUGCCAUGAAUACUAAGUACUGCUCCUGUCUGCCAAGUGACUGGUCCUGAACUGAAAGCAAAAAGCCAAAAAGAUAUGGAUUUACUCAUACCUUUC
rnacentral:lncRNA from 7 species